GAAGAAUUGGGGGCUGCGGCUGUAGGAUCUCUCUCUCUCUCUCUCUAUAUAUACACACACAUGCAAAGAAAAAAAGAGGAGAGAGAGGAGGUAACUGCCGGUUGGGAAUAUAAUUGGAGAGCUGCUUGGAGGUGAACACAGGCCAACUGAGAUAUAUAGAUAUAUAUACACAUCACGCAGUUGGGGGAGAAGAAGACAGAGAUACACAAUUGCCGGUUGCUUGGAAUUUAACAUAUAUACGACUCAAACAAAAGUGGCAGCUUUGGGAAGAAUUGGAGUUGGAAUAAAAUACGAGCUGGCUGCUGGGUUUUAUGAUACAGACAAAAAGGCAGCCAAAAUUGAUAGAAAUUGGAGAGAAGAUUGCUGGCUGCUUGGGCUGAAUUUUAUAAAUAAACAACACACACAAUUUGGAGCAGUUUGGAGUAAAAGAGAAGAAAACAACUGGUUACACUCGCGCAAAAGUCGAGCAAAUUCGUGGAAUUAAUCACGUUUCAUCAAUUUCUCGGUGAUUUUUUUUUUCCAAUUUUAUGUAUUUAAUUCCAAUCUUAUGUUAGGCUAAUUUUUCUCAUGUAUUGGAUGAAGAUCAAAAUCGUUAUUAUUUAUUUUUAAUUCAAGACACGAGGUUUGGUUAAAUUCUUGCAAUUGUUGAUUAAUCUUGCGAGCUUAAUUUUAUUAUUUGAUUGCCUGAUUGCCAAUUAAAUAUAUAGUUGCUUGUUGUUGGAGGUUCACACUAAGUUUAGAACGUUGCAUGAUUAACAUAUGUGUAAUAAAUUUUAGGAAUAAGAUUUAUCACGUGUGCAAUCUUUGAGAUAAUUGUGAAAU
rnacentral:lncRNA from 1 species